rnacentral:lncRNA from 1 species
CCAACUAAACUAUUUUCUAUUAUUCUUUUUAUAUUCUUUUUAUGCUCUGAUACCAUCUUAUCUGUCACGCCCCGAGCCCGCCUAUUUGUUCGGUUCGGGCACACCGACAGACCGCCGGACGGACAGAAUUUCUCCUGUACGUCCAAGGCGUCACAAUCAAUACAAUUACAAGACGUUCCAAACAGGAACAAUAUUCAACAACGAUUGCAUAAGGAAGGCAUCAAACAACAUAAACAACUAGACUAUUACAACCAUUCACAUUUAUAUACUUAUUACAUACAUUUUCAUUUUUCUUUUCUUCCAAAUACAAUCAAGAUUGUUACAACAUUAUUUUACGACAAGUUUAUUCUUUUCUUUUCUUCUACACCCCUAGUUA